CGGACCCUUGCGAGCGCUGUCGCGACCAGGCGCGGGCUGGCGCGGGCACGGCCACAGCCUCGCGCAGGGUGUGGUGCGGCCUGGCGUGGUCCUGCGCGACCACGACCAAGGCAGGCAGCGAGGCCAUGGCAGGGGCGGGCGCGAGCGAGCGCAACCACAUCCUGGCACGGGCGCAGGCAGCGACCGGGCAUGGGGCGCGGCAAAGGGAGGCGGCCAGGCGAGGAGCGCGGCGUAGGGAGGCGGCUGGGCGAACGGGCGCUCGGCGCGGCGCAGGUGGUUGCGUCCUGUGGCGUGAAGGCCGCAUCCAGCGCCAUGGGCUACUGGUUUUCAUCUUACCUUUUGCAUGUUCUUCUUUCUUUGUGUUCUUCUCGAUCUCGAAAUCGCUCAGAUGCAGAUCGUGCUGAUAACGUAUUAGAGUAAAACGAGAUUGAAUGAAAGUGAAUGGACGAUUAGUCCUGAUUUCUAUUGAUUCGCAAGUUUAUAUACAUCUGGAAGAGGUGCGAAGAAGAGGUGACUGUUCGGAGGCAUCCCUCCAGAACAGGUGCCUGUUGGCAAUGGAGAGAGAG
rnacentral:lncRNA from 1 species